CGGUGUUUAACUGGCGUGAUGUGGGACGUCCUACCGGUGGGCUUAGCCUCGCGAGGGGCGGCCCAACUAAUAUCCCGUCGCGGUGCUCUUUACUGAGUGUCGAGUCGGGCCGGUACGUUUACUUUGAACAAAUUAGAGUGCUUAAAGCAGGGCUAUCCUCGCCUGAAUACUGCGUGCAUGGAAUAAUGGAAUAGGACCUCGGUUCUAUUUUGUUGGUUUUCGGAACCCCGAGGUAAUGAUUAAUAGGGACAGAUGGGGGCAUUCGUAUUGCGACGUUAGAGGUGAAAUUCUUGGAUCGUCGCAAGACGGACAGAAGCGAAAGCAUUUGCCAAAAAUGUUUUCAUUAAUCAAGAACGAAAGUUAGAGGUUCGAAGGCGAUCAGAUACCGCCCUAGUUCUAACCAUAAACGAUGCCAGCUAGCGAUCCGCCGAAGUUCCUCCGAUGACUCGGCGGGCAGCUUCCGGGAAACCAAAGCUUUUGGGUUCCGGGGGAAGUAUGGCUGCAAAGCUGAAACUUAAAGGAAUUGACGGAAGGGCACCACCAGGAGUGGAGCCUGCGGCUUAAUUUGACUCAACACGGGAAACCUCACCAGGCCCAGACACCGGAAGGAUUGACAGAUUGAUAGCUCUUUCUUGAUUCGGUGGGUGGUGGUGCAUGGCCGUUCUUAGUUGGUGGAGCGAUUUGUCUGGUUAAUUCCGAUAACGAACGAGACUCUAGCCUGCUAAAUAGGCGUACCUUAUGGUAUCGCGAAGGCCCCCGGCUUCGGCCGGUGGGUUUUUACUACCAACGUACAAACAAAUCUUCUUAGAGGGACAGGCGG
rnacentral:rRNA from 1 species